GACGAACCGUGCGAACGUUAUUCGGAAUCACUGGGCUUAAAGGGCGCGUAGGUGGUUGAUCAAGUCUGGGGUGAAAUCUUUCGGCUUAACCGGAAAAGUGCCUUGGAUACUGGUCAGCUGGAGGGAGGUAGGGGCAGUUGGAACUUCCAGUGGAGCGGUGAAAUGCGUUGAUAUUGGAAGGAACGCCGGUGGCGAAAGCGAACUGCUGGACCUCUUCUGACACUGAUGCGCGAAAGCUAGGGGAGCAAACGGG
rnacentral:rRNA from 1 species